AAACCAACAGGGAUUGCCUUAGUAGCGGCGAGUGAAGCGGCAAGAGCUCAAAUUUGAAAUCUGGUACCUUCGGUGCCCGAGUUGUAAUUUGAAGAAAGCUGUCUUGGAGUUGGCCUUUGUCUAUGUUCCUUGGAACAGGACGUCACAGAGGGUGAGAAUCCCGUGCGAUGAAGUGUCCAAUUCUUUAUAAGACGUUUUCGAAGAGUCGAGUUGUUUGGGAAUGCAGCUCAAAGUGGGUGGUAAAUUCCAUCUAAAGCUAAAUAUUGGCGAGAGACCGAUAGCGAACAAGUACUGUGAAGGAAAGAUGAAAAGAACUUUGAAAAGAGAGUGAAAAAGUACGUGAAAUUGUUGAAAGGGAAGGGUAUUCAAUCAGACUUGGUAUUUAGUUAUCAUUACUCCUUGUGGGUGGUGCUCUAGCUUUUUACUGGGCCAGCAUCAGUUUUGGUGGCAAGAUAAUGGCAGUUGAAUGUAGCUCCUAGAGUAUUAUAGCUUCUGCUGAUAUUGCCUACUGAGACUGAGGUCUGCGGCUUUUGCCUAGGAUGCUGGCGUAAUGAUUGAAUACCGCCCGUC
rnacentral:rRNA from 1 species